CCGCGCGCAGCCCGGCUCCCCUCCCCCGCGGGGAAGUGGGGUCCGACCCGGGAGAGACUCGCGGGGCGCGGGCGGCGACAACUUUCCCGCGCGGGCCGGGGACGAGAGAGGGGCCGCGACCGCCCGGCCCGGGAGGCAGGAGCUGGAUCUCGCUGCGGGCGGGCGACAGCAGGUAGACUGGCGGGGGCUUGAAGGCCUGACCCCGGCGUGGAGCAGCCGAGGCCACAGCCCUUGGUCCUCCCGAGAGGCCCGGUGUCCUGUGCUGGCCCCAGACUGACCUCUAGAUUUGCAGGCCACCGAACCCCUGAGCUGUGCGUGACCUUCCCGCCCGGCCAGGCCCCACUGGCCAUCUGAGUGUCUAGGAAGUGCCCUGGCACCCUGUACCUGCCCCCUUCCCAGCCUCCAGCCGCUGCCCGCCUCUGGCAGGGUGGCCCGAGAAGGUUGCUCCACUCCGAUCUCACCUGCUGUCCCCUCAUGUGCCUCGGCCGGCUGGGGUUCCUGGGGAUGGGAUUUGAUGCCAGUCACAAAUCACAUUGCCAGGGAUUUCCAACUGACCCUGUGCUCUGCCUUGGGGACUCCUGUUGCUAAGGAUGCCUGUCCUGGGUACCGGGUGAUGGAGGAGCCCAGCAUGACAACUGGCCUGAGGAGCAGGGCUUAGCUGCUUGUGAGCAAGGUCCACAGCAAGUCGUGUUCACAGUGGCUAAGUUCCGCCCCACCGGGCCCCAUCUCCUCAGACGCUGCUGCCCACCCUGCUCUGCCUCCUCCUCCCUGGGCUCUGCCUCCUGUGCCUACUGAGCUGAAACAGUUGGUUCCAAUGCACUGGCUCAGUUCAGCAGGAACAGGAGUCCAGCCCCCUAGGAGCUGGCACCCUACAAAAUGUCUGCCAUGACCCAAGACCUGGAUGGAGCAGGGGUGACCAGCUGUGCCUGGGCCCAGUUCUCUGCUGCAGGCCCUUCCUCUAAGCCUGCAUCUGGGUAGCCCACCCCACAUGGCCACACCUUGAGAUUUUUGUAGUUCCCACAAGAACAGGUGGAUGAGUGCGUGGCAAGUCAGUUGUGUCCCCUCAGGGCCUCCAGCCCCUUCCUCUCCCAAACCCAGUGGGGCCCAAGCACCACCCUUUCUUUGCACACCUUCUCUGUAGUCAGUUACCCAAGAGGAAGCUGCUUCAGGCCUGCUGACUGUUAAAUGCCAACUCUCAACUUCCGCAACAAGGCACUGGCCCUAUCCAGCGUGCCCAGCACCCCAUGAAGCCUGCAGCACUGGUGACAGUGACGCAGGGAGCAAAGUCCACACGGCCCUCCAAGGACAUGGACAGACUUCCCUCUCCCCUGGGUAUUGCACUUCCCAGAUCACCAGUCAGCGGGGGUGUGGGUGGAGGGUGAAUGGAAGCUCAGGUGGAAUAACAGAGAGGUGAAGCUUGUAUUUGAUGUUGUGCCUGUUUUCUAUUAAAUAAAAACUGCCCUGCUUCAUUCUUUAA